rnacentral:rRNA from 1 species
AAGACAACUUAUAAAAAAAUAAUUUAUAAAUCAAACAAAUAAAUAUGUAAUAAAAUAAUUUAAUUUAAAUCAAAAAAAAAUAUUACAUAAU